rnacentral:rRNA from 1 species
AUUGAACGCUGGCGGCAGGCCUAACACAUGCAAGUCGAACGAGUGGCGGACGGGUGAGUAAUGUCUGGGCAACUGCGUGAUGGAGGGGGCUAACUACUGGAAACGGUAGCUAAUACCGCAUACCAUCAGAUGGGCCCAGAUGGGAUUAGCUCGUUGGUGUGGUAAAGGCUAACCAAGGCGACGAUCCCUAGCGGGUCUGAGAGGAUGACCAGCCACACUGGAACUGAGACACGGUCCAGACUCCUACGGGAGGCAGCAGUGGGGAAUAUUGGACAAUGGGCGAAAGCCUGAUCCAGCCAUGCCGCGUGUAUGAAGAAGGCCUUCGGGUUGUAAAGUACUUUCAGCAGGGAGGCGUUACCCGCAGAAGAAGCACCGGCUAACUACGUGCCAGCAGCCGCGGUAAUUC